CCUACGGGUGGCAGCAGUGAGGAAUAUUGGUCAAUGGACGCAAGUCUGAACCAGCCAUGCCGCGUGCAGGAAGACGGCUCUAUGAGUUGUAAACUGCUUUUGUACGAGGGUAAACGCAGAUACGCGUAUCUGUCUGAAAGUAUCGUACGAAUAAGGAUCGGCUAACUCCGUGCCAGCAGCCGCGGUAAGACGGAGGAUUCAAGCGUUAUCCGGAUUUAUUGGGUUUAAAGGGUGCGUAGGCGGUCGGAUAAGUUAGAGGUGAAAUUCCGUGGCUCAACUUCGGAAUUGCUUCUGAUACUGUUCGGCUAGAGAGUAGUUGCGGUAGGCGGAAUGUAUGGUGUAGCGGUGAAAUGCUUAGAGAUCAUACAGAACACCGAUUGCGAAGGCAGCUUACCAAGCUACUUCUGACGUUGAGGCACGAAAGCGUGGGGAGCAAACAGGAUUAGAUACCCUAGUAGUC
rnacentral:rRNA from 1 species